rnacentral:rRNA from 1 species
GAACCCGACGAUACUUCUGAGUGUUCUAAGCGAACUGUUAAAACUUUCAACAACGGAUCUCUUGGCUCCAGCAUCGAUGAAGAACGCAGCGAAACGCGAUAUGUAAUGUGAAUUGCAGAAUUCAGUGAAUCAUCGAAUCUUUGAACGCACAUGGCGCC